CCACGUAAUUACAAGAUUUAGGAGAUUUUAAUAGAACGAAUUUAUCAGAUAACACGAACACAUUACGUCAACACCAAAUCUGAUGGAGCAACAUGCAAUAUUUCAAAUUAGUUGUGGUCAAAAUCACUUCCUUAUCCGUUACAAUGGCUAUGAAUUUACAUUGACCUUUAUCGCACUUCCAGGUUAUUAAACACCCGGAGAUUAGCUUUUAUCAGAUGACAAGUUAGGUUACCUAUUUUUAACGAUGGGAAAUCAUUUAACUGACACCCAAGCCGGGAUACGCAGUGUAGAUACGUGGGGAGUGUGGGGGUAAAGGCCUAUGCAAAUAACUUACCACUAAACGGUCACCCUGCGCACUACUAAUGCCUGGUAAAAGCGAGGACUGUUCACCUGUCUAACCACCGAGUUCGUGCACUGACUUGAAUAGUGCGAUUCGGACGUCACGGUAUUAUUUUUAUAUCGCAGAUGUCGGUACAGAACCAACAUUGGUUCAGCUCUUCUUUGAGUCCAGCUAUUUGAGGGACUAUUGAAGAGAAUAGAAGAGGAGAACUAAGCUCUCCGAAUGUAGAGCACACUGAAGUUCUUCAUUCCCUAAAACAGACAGGAAAUAAAAACCACGGUGGCACUAUCCUUCUUUAAUAUAUAUUAACUACAUAGUGAAUUUGUAUAGAUUUAGUUUUUUGUCACCGUUGUUUUGUUUGACGUGUGACCUCCAAAAUAUAAAGCUUUUUAAAGAUUAAGUCAAGGAGACAUUCAAUGGCAAUGCAGACAAUCCAUCAAAGUCUGCGACGACUGCUUAAUAAGUCUCGAAUGAUGUCAAUCGAUGAUACAAGGAACUAAUCUCGAUUUAAAUACGCCUAUUAUAGUAAUGUCUUAGUAAUACAGAUAAUAUUAUGUAGCUACUUGGAUAAAAUUUAUACUUUAAAA